UGACAAAGAGAUUUUAUUGGUUUCACCACAUGCCACAUCACAUACCGCAUGGAUGGAUAUCCUUCAAAUAAAUUGACCUUAGAAACACAGUUUCCCCUUCCCCCUAUUCAGUCCCAACAGAAUGACACGAAGUUCAGGAAUAGACAUUUUAAUAUGAAGCUUCUCUCUCCAUGUUUUGAAUGAGCUUACCUACCAUUUGUCUGACCUGGAAUUUUGCAAUCAAAUAAAAGAAGUUUGACAAUGGUGUAACAAAAUUC
rnacentral:lncRNA from 1 species